rnacentral:rRNA from 1 species
ACAGCAGCCGCCGCGGGAAUACGUAGGUCCCGAGCGUUGUCCGGAUUUAUUGGGCGUAAAGCGAGCGCAGGCGGUUAGAUAAGUCUGAAGUUAAAGGCUGUGGCUUAACCAUAGUACGCUUUGGAAACUGUUUAACUUGAGUGCAAGAGGGGAGAGUGGAAUUCCAUGUGUAGCGGUGAAAUGCGUAGAUAUAUGGAGGAACACCGGUGGCGAAAGCGGCUCUCUGGCUUGUAACUGACGCUGAGGCGCGAAAGCCAGGGGAGCGAACGGGAUUAGAUACCCGCGUAGUCCCUGUCUCUUAUACA